AUUCGGAGGGAGCGAGCGUUAAUCGGAAUUACUGGGCGUAAAGCGCGCGUAGGCGGCUUUGUAAGUCGGAUGUGAAAGCCCUGGGCUCAACCUGGGAAUGGCAUUCGAUACUGCAGAGCUAGAGUAUGGUAGAGGGAAGUGGAAUUUCCGGUGUAGCGGUGAAAUGCGUAGAUAUCGGAAGGAACACCAGUGGCGAAGGCGACUUCCUGGGCCAAUACUGACGCUGAGGUGCGAAAGCGUGGGGAGCAAACAGGAUUAGAUACCCGAGUAGUCC
rnacentral:rRNA from 1 species